UGGGGAAUAUUGCACAAUGGAGGGAACUCUGAUGCAGCGACGCCGCGUGAACGAAGAAGGCUUUCGAGUCGUAAAGUUCUUUUAUAUGGGAAGAUAAUGACGGUACCAUAAGAAGAAGCCCCGGCUAACUACGUGCCAGCAGCCGCGGUACUACGUAGGGGGCUAGCGUUGUCCGGAAUCACUGGGCGUAAAGGGUUCGCAGGCGGAAAUGCAAGUCAGGUGUAAAAGGCAGUAGCUUAACUACUGUAAGCAUUUGAAACUGCAGAUCUUGAGAAGAGUAGAGGUAAGUGGGAUUUUUAGUGUAGCGGUGAAAUGCGUAGAUAUUAAAAAGAAUACCGGUGGCGAAGGCGACUUACUGGGCUCAUUCUGACGCUGAGGAACGAAAGCGUGGGUAGCAAACAGG
rnacentral:rRNA from 1 species